rnacentral:rRNA from 1 species
CAGUAGCCGCGGUAAUACGUAGGUCCCGAGCGUUGUCCGGAUUUAUUGGGCGUAAAGGGAGCGCAGGCGGUUUAGUAAGUCAGAAGUUAAAGGCAUUGGCUCAACCAAUGUAUGCUUUGGAAACUGUUAGACUUGAGUGCAGAAGGGGAGAGUGGAAUUCCAUGUGUAGCGGUGAAAUGCGUAGAUAUAUGGAGGAACACCGGUGGCGAAAGCGGCUCUCUGGUCUGUCACUGACGCUGAGGCUCGAAAGCGUGGGUAGCGAACAGGAUUAGAUACCCCAGUAGUCCCUGUCUCUUAUACA